UACGUAGGGGGCCAGCGUUGUUCGGAUUCACUGGGCGUAAAGGGUGCGUAGGUGGUGAGGUAAGUCGGAUGUGAAAUCUCCGGGCUCAACCCGGAAAUGGCAUUGGAAACUACCUUGCUGGAGGAUUUGAGGGGGGAUUGGAAUACUUGGUGUAGCAGUGAAAUGCGUAGAUAUCAAGUGGAACACCAGUGGCGAAGGCGAAUCCCUGGAAAAUACCUGACACUGAGGCACGAAAGCUAGGGGAGCAAACAGG
rnacentral:rRNA from 1 species